UACGUAGGGUGCGAGCGUUGUCCGGAAUUAUUGGGCGUAAAGGGCUCGUAGGCGGUUUGUCGCGUCGGGAGUGAAAUCCACUGGCUUAACUGGUGGCUUGCUUUCGAUACGGGCAGACUGGAGGUAUGCAGGGGAGAACGGAAUUCCUGGUGUAGCGGUGAAAUGCGCAGAUAUCUGGAGGAACACCGGUGGCGAAAGCGGCUCACUGGACCGUGUCUGACGCUGAGGUGCGAAAGCUAGGGUAGCGAACGGG
rnacentral:rRNA from 1 species